UGCAUCGGCCGGGAAUCGAACCCACGCCGCCCGCGUGGCAGGCGAGCAUUCUACCACUGAACCACCGAUGG